ACAAUGGCUGGCACUGGCUUA
rnacentral:snRNA from 1 species